AAGGCCUUAGCUUAAUUAAAGUGUCUGAGUUGCAUUCAGAAGAUGCGUAGUAGUAUUUCGCAGGCCUUA
rnacentral:tRNA from 1 species